rnacentral:rRNA from 1 species
UACAGAGGUCUCAAGCGUUGUUCGGAUUCAUUGGGCGUAAAGGGUGCGUAGGUGGCGCCGUAAGUCGGGUGUGAAAUUUCGGAGCUUAACUCCGAAACUGCAUUCGAUACUGCGGUGCUUGAGGACUGGAGAGGAGACUGGAAUUCAUGGUGUAGCAGUGAAAUGCGUAGAGAUCAUGAGGAAGACCAGUGGCGAAGGCGGGUCUCUGGACAGUUCCUGACACUGAGGCGCGAAAGCGUGGGGAGCGAACAGG